GAUGAAGAACGUAGCGAAAUGCGAUAAGUAAUGUGAAUUGCAGAAUUCAGUGAAUCAUCGAAUCUUUGAACGCACAUUGCGCCCCUUGGUAUUCCGAGGGGCAUGCCUGUUCGAGCGUCAUUACAACCCUCAGGCCCCCGGGCCUGGCGUUGGGGAUCGGCGGAGCCCCCCGUGGGCACACGCCGUCCCCCAAAUGCAGUGGCGGUCCCGCCGCAGCUUCCAUCGCGUAGUAGCUAACACCUCGCGACUGGAGAGCGGCGCGGCCACGCCGUAAAACACCCAACUCUUCUGAAGUUGACCUCGAAUCAGGUAGGAAUACCCGCUGAACUUAAGCAUAUCAAUAAGCGGAGGA
rnacentral:misc_RNA from 1 species